rnacentral:lncRNA from 1 species
UGGCUGGCUAAGUGAUUUGGACCUACCAUAUUCCAUAUGAAAUCUACUCUCUGCACCUCUAUGUAUUUCUACUUGAGGUAUUUGCAUAUAUCCCUACUCUAUGUGCGUGGACUUUUGAUGAGACCUUGGCUCUUUAGUGAGGAUUAUGGGGCCAUCAUCUUUGUAGUACAGUAUCAUAGUAUCCGAUGGUAUGACUCCAAUUUCGUAAUUAUCAUAAGAACUAGAAUGUAUCCUGCACAUCUACAGUAUACUUAGCUUCCAUUGGUCCAUUGCUUGGAACCCUUCCAACAUACCGAACCAACAUAACUCAAGAAUACAUACUGAUGUA